GAUGAACGCUAGCUACAGGCUUGACACAUGCAAGUCGAGGGGAAACGACAUCGAAAGCUUGCUUUUGAUGGGCGUCGACCGGCGCACGGGUGAGUAACGCGUAUCCAACCUGCCCACCACUUGGGGAUAACUUUGCGAAAGUAAGACUAAUACCCAAUGACGUCUCUAGAAGACAUCUGAAAGAGAUUAAAGAUUUAUCGGUGAAGGCUGGGGAUGCGUCUGAUUAGCUUGUUGGCGGGCUCACGGACCACCAAGGCGACGAUCAGUAGGGGUUCUGAGAGGAAGUGCCCGCAGAUUGGAACUGAGACACGGUCCAAACUCCUACGGGAGGCAGCAGUGAAGAAUAUUGGUCAAUGGACGAGAGUCUGAACCAGCCAAGUAGCGUGCAGGAUGAUGGCCCUAUGGGUUGUAAACUGCUUUUAUAAGGGAAUAAAGUGAGUCUCGUGAGACUUUUUGCAUGUACCUUAUGAAUAAGGACCGGCUAAUUCCGUGCCAGCCGCCGCCGUAA
rnacentral:rRNA from 1 species